rnacentral:lncRNA from 1 species
AACCAAGAGGAUUGAGUUAACUCCAUGGGACCUCCAUGUUCUUCUACUUGGUCCUAUCACAAGGGGUCUUCUCUUUCUCAAGCCUACACCCGGACCAGAGGAGAAUGGAUUACAAACCAUGACUGCUAUUGUAGAUCAUUUAAAGACCUCACUUUCUCGCACUCUGGACUUCUUCUACCCACUCGCCGGCCGCCUUGGUACCACUGUAAACGACGACGACGACACCACUUGUUUCUUCAUCGACUGCAAUGGCGCCGGAGCUCAGUUUAUCCAUGCAGCGGCCGGCGGUGUCACCGUGGCCGAUAUACUCGACCCUGUCUAUGUUCCUGAGAUUGUGUCUUCUUUUUUCUCACAAGAUGAAGUUCAGAACUACCAAGACGUUACCCAGCCGCUGCUCUCGGUGCAAGUGACGGAGCUGGUGGACGGGAUCUUUGUUGGUUGUACCCUCAAUCGUGUGCUGGCGGAUGGAAAGUCCUUCUGGCAUUUCUUCAAUUCGUGGUCGGAAAUCUCUCGGGGUUCCAAUAAAAUAUCCCUAUCUCCUGUUUUCAAGCGUUGGUUUGGGGAUGAUACCCACUACCCCAUACGAAUUCCUCAGUCAGCUAUGGUCUUUGAGCGGCCCACCACAUCAUCGCCAGUUCAAGAAAUGUUUUUUCACUUCUCAAAAGGAAAAAUUGCGGGGUUGAAAGCAAGAGCAAAUGCAGAAAUGGGCACCGACCGAAUUUCUUCUUUGCAGGCGCUGAUGGCCCAUUUUUGGCGCUCCACAAUUCGUGCUAGGCAUCUCCCCGAGGAUCAAGAGACUAUUUGUACAUUAGCAAUAGAUAUGAGACCGAGGCGACAUCCACAGAUGCCCCAACAAUACUUUGGGGUUGCAGUUCAGGGCGGGAUCGUAACAAUGAAAGUAGGGGAGCUGCUGGGGAUGGGGCUGGGUCAUGUGGCUUGGCAAAUGAACAAGAUUAUUUCUACCUUCACUGAAGUAAAAGCCACCAACUUCUUGAAAUCUUGGGCGAAAGACCCUAAGCCGGCUACAGAUAGCACCAUAAUGAUGAGAAUUGCUUUGAUCAUGGCCGGUUCGCCGCGGUUCAACGUAUACGGCAAUGAUUUUGGUUGGGGAAGGCCAGUUGCGGUUAGAGGUGGAGGUGGGAUCAAGUUGAAUGGAAAGGCCACCAGUUUCCAAGGAGCAGAAGAAGGGAGCAUUGAUAUUGAAGCUUGCUUAUCGCCUGAGACCUUGAAGGCUCUGAUGGAAGAUGCAGAGUUCAUGGGAUGAUGGAAGCUGUCACCGCUUCAUCUUAAUUUCUUUCUUUCACGAUAAUCUUAGGCCUUGCUUUCAGGAAGUUUGCUUUGAUUUUGCUUUUCUCCAUCUAUGUAUUUACAUUUCCUACUUGUCCUUCAACGGUUUAGAUUGCAUUUUCAUAGGGAUCAAUUCCAAUCCUAUAAUUUUCCUUCAAAAUAUGUAUUACUAAUUUAAAUAUAUAGUCUAUCAUUAACAUGCUAUACCAUUAACAUAUUUUUAAUCAAAAUUUUUUUAAAAUAUAAUUUUUUUAAUCAAAAUUUUUGUUUUACAAAAUUAGUAAAACAUCAAGAAAUUUAAAAAUGAAGAAAAUGAGCAAAAGAAAUAAACUUAUGAUCCAUAUAAUUUGUUUAUAGUAUAUCUCAAUGUAAGAUUCUUAUAGCUCAUGUAAAAAGAAUAUAAAAAUCAAUGUUUUUAGAAUCGGAUUUGUCAACGAACAAAAAAAUGUUACUAAUUCAUGAUUCGGUAAUCGGACCGAUGGUUGAAUCACGAUCGUACCCUUUACAUCAUAAAUAUAUAUUUUAUUAAAAUUAAAAUAAUUUUUAAAAAUUAUAAAUACAAUUAAAUUAAAAAUCAAUAAUAUUUAUUUUUUCAUCUUUUAUAUAAAUAUAUCAAUAUUUUAAAGUUUAUUAAAUAAAACAUAUAUAAUAUUACAUAUAGAAAAUUGAAGUGUAAUAUGUUAUUAAUUAAUUAUAUAUAUCUUAUUAUCUUAUAAGUUUUAAAAAUAUUAGAUAUUUGAAAUGAUUUUAUUAUAUUUUCUACAACUCUGAGCACAAACCAAAGAGUAGCAGGUUGGUACAACCUCUACUUUAAUUGAAAGCAUCUAAACUACUUUAUUGGAUUAUCGGGGAUAGAAGUGUUAAUUUCCAGUAUCCCCGACAAUCCAGGAAUUAUUGCACAUGGCCACUGCAAGAACAAUGAUAUAACUUAUACUUUUCUAGAUUCUCUAGAUCAACAAAUUCCAACAUGUUUGAAAGCUCCUUUAUUUUCUACAUUAAAUUUAGUUUAUAAUUAAUAACUAUCUCCUAAAAUUCUAUACCUUUGCUUUUUCAACAAUAUUUAAUAUUUUUAAUAAUUUCUCUUGAUUUCAAUGAAAUUCAUGUUUACAUUUUUUAAUUUUUUAAUUAAUUCAUUUCUUCGUUAUGAUAAAAAAAAAUUCAAUUUUCCUAAUUAAAUAAUAAUAAAAUUUAUUUUUCAAACGGUAGUCUAAUAUUUUUCGACAUGAAAUAAAUAAUUUAUUUUCCUUAUAUUUUUGGUUUCAGAUAACAUUGAAUUAAUAAUUAUGGUCUAAUUUUUUGAACGGUCGAUUUUUUACUAGUGAUAAUAUUAUAAAGCAUAUUUACCUAAGAGAAAAAGAGAUGACUCCACAACUACAGUUGCAGCUGCGAGUUCGAAACAGUCAAUUAAGAGAAUUGAGUUUACUCCAGUUUACUCUGAUUGGUCCAAUCCAAAAGGGUCUUCUCUUUCCCCAGCCUACACCCCAACCGCAACACUAUGGCAUCAUGGAUCAGUGAAUUAAAAACCUCCCUUUCUCGCACUCUAGGCUUUUUCUACACACCCGCCGGCCGCCUUGGCACCACCGUGAACGAGGACAAACCAUUUGUUUAUAUAGGAAGAGUGUAUAGUCAAGUCAAAAUGUGUUUUUAAAGAUAGCAACAUGGGUAUAUUAACUAACUUUCCUUAAUCUAAUGGGCUUGUGGAAAGGCGCAGGGAAGCCUCACACAUCCAUGGGUCGAGUCUAUUUGAGUGGAGUUUGGGAUCGGGCCAAAAUUCCUUAAUGCAAGGGUUCUCCCUUGCGUACGUGCGAGUUCAACUAUUUUUAACAAAAUAAAAUUAUUUUUUUAAUUUUAUUUCAGUUUGAGUUAGCCUUUUAUUUUGGCCAAGUCACCCAACGGGUCUCAUCCCUCAACUCUUUAAAAAAACUAAUUUAUAACAAGUUUUCUAAGUCUUUCAAUAUUCUGGUUUUUUUGCCUUCCUACAUUUAUAAGGAAGAAGAUUAUUUUGGAAUCCGAACUGUACAUAUUUCGAUUGCAGAGUGUACCCAAGGCCAAAUCCAAGGAUUUAACAAUCCAUGAAUUAUUGAAUCCUAAAGGUAAAUCACUUAUUCACUGGUGCACCAAACUCAUCUUAAAAGAGGAUGAAUUUAUUUUAAGGACGAUGCAUUGUCACGCAUUAACCUAUUAUACCUAUAAGUUUCCAUUUACUCUUUCUGUUCUUUGCUUGCGUGUAUUGGGCUAGGUCAAGUCCUCUUCUAUUUUAUGCCCUUAGAACAACAGUUUCUUCAUCGGCUGUGAUGGCGCCGGAGCUCAGUUUAUCCAUGCAGCUGCCCCUGGCGUCACCGUGGCCGAUAUCCUUGAGCCUGCCUACGUUUCUCCGAUCGUCCAUUCUUUUUUCCCACUCGAUGGAACCCAGAACUGCAAUGGCGUUUCGGAGCCGUUGCUGGCAGUGCAAGUGACUUAGCUCGUUGAUGGCGUCUUUAUUGGUUGCACUAGCAGUCACAUGAUUGUGGACGGCACAUACUUCUGGCAUUUCUUUAAUUCAUGGUCGGCAAUCUCUCGGGGUUCCAAUGAAAUAACCCUAUCUUCUGUUCUCGAUCGCCGGUUUGUUGAUGAUACCCACUACCCCAUCCGAAUCCCUUGGUCGCUACUAGUCUUUGCUAGGCCCACAAUCGCGCCAAUGCGAGAGGAUUUUCCACUUCACAAAAGCAAAAAUUGCAGUGCUGAAAGCAAGAGUUAAUACGCAGCCACCAAAUUUCCCCUUUGCAAGCCCUCUUGGCCCAUCUUACGAAAUCUUCCUUCCCCGAAAUUAGAUUAGGCAAGGCAAAUAAAAAAAAUUUCAUAGUUAAAGGUGUGGAAUAGGUAAAAUCCGAUGAAAAUUUGAAAAUCAAGUAAGGAAUAGAUAAAAUCCGAUGAAAAUUUGAAAAUCAAGUAAGGAAAAUGCCUUUAUUUUUUAUUCUUCAUUCUUCACGCCCAGGAUUACGUCCCAGAUCAUUAGAUAGGAAUCUGAAGAUGAAGAUAGAAACAAAGAAUAUCACUACUGUGUCUGAAAUCUUACAGUCUAUGAUAGAAGAUGCAGAGUUCGUGGAAACUCUCACCAUUUGAUCUUAAUUUCAUACUUCUUAAAUUAGGGUUUGACUUCUUAGUAUUUGCUUUCUUUUGCUGGGCUUAUGAUCUUGAUUAUUUGAUGAGAUUUAUAUCUCACACUAAAUAUAUAGUCAUCAAAUUAAAGUCGUUGGUUCUAAUUUCUUUUCAAUUACAAAAUGAAUACCCCAUCAUAUCCGUAUAUAAUAUAAUUAAAAUAAUAAUAAAUAAAUAAUAAUAAAAAGAUUAGGUUUUGACCGCCAGCCCUCAUCUUCAUCCUCAACCACCACCGUCGUCCAGCCAACGCCCCCGCUUCCUCUGCGUCCUCUCCGCAACCUAGAGGAAGAGUGAAUUAGGGCUGGACUAGAACUGGCCCAAGCGCAACCCAACAAAAAUUAAAUCAGAAUGCAAGACAAUAUUUUUCUUUUUCAUUUUUCUGAAAAAUAGAAAAGGUGAAACGCCCAUUUUCUCGGUUUGAUUUAGUAUGGAAAAUACAAAAAAUUAAAAUAAAUAAAAUUAAUUAAAAAAAUUAAAUAUUUUUAAAUCAUUUAACUUUUUUAUAAAAUAAAAUAUCCAAAUGAAUUUUAAAAAUAUAUAAAAUUAAUUUAUUAACUUUAUUUAUUUUCCUCUUUUUUUUUUCUUUUUCCUCCUAUUUUCUUUUAAUUUUUCUUAAAAUUUUCCUUAAAAUUACAAAAAAAAAUAAUUUAUUAAAUUUAUUUUAGGAUGUAUAUUAAGAUUUAAGCAAAAUUAAUAUUUUAAAAACUAACAAAAAAUGUAUAAAAUAUAUUUAAUUUCAUUGUUAUCAAAUUUUCUAUUUUUAUACAAUAUAUACUUUAUUUUCUUACACAAAGUUAUUUUUUAGGGAAAAUAUGCUUUUACUUUUUAUUUUUUAAAUUCUUAAUUAAAUAAAAAUAAUUUUAAUUUUUAAAAUUUGAGGAGUGUGUGAUUCUAAGGGUGCGUUUGACUAAUAUUCACUAUUUAUUGAUCCAUCCAUUAAUUAAUAUUAACUUAAUCAAUAGAUUUUACUUGUGACGUCUUAAACCUUAGUAGGAAGGGUAGAUGAGGCCAGUGACACAAACACAGAGAUCAGAGAAUCUGAUCAGAAAAGGCAGGCAGAUAUAUAGCUCCAAGCCUCCCAUAGAUGUGACUGAGUUUUGAGGUUUGUGGUAUAGAAGAUGGAAGGAAUUAUAAGUUUCAUUUCCACAACUACAGUUAGACCGGCGAGUCCGGAGGAGUCAACCAGGAGGAUCGAGUUAACCCCAUGGGACCUCCAGUUGCUUCUACUUGGCUCUAUCAAAAAGGGCCUUCUCUUUCUCAAGCCGACACCCGGACCAGAGGAGAAUGGAUUACAAACCAUAACUGCUAUUGUAGAUCAUUUAAAGACCUCACUUUCUCGCACUCUGGACUUCUUCUACCCACUCGCCGGCCGCCUUGGUACCACUGUAAACGAAGACGACGACACAACUUGUUUCUUCAUCGACUGCAACGGCGCCGGAGCUCAGUUUAUCCAUGCAGCGGCCGG